rnacentral:lncRNA from 1 species
GCCUACCACUUGCAAGCUGAAUGUGAUUUCCAAUUCGAACCCAUGUGUGACCUAAAAACUAUAAAAAGUUCAAUUUGCUAAACAUCUACGUUCACUGUACAUUUACCAAUGGUUAGACGAUAUGUAGUUAGUUCAGAACAGUCUCAGUGUUUGAAAUUGAUUCAUUGUUUGCACUUUUUAGGAUACAAGAUUUUGAACACAACAGUUUUCGUUCUGCUUUCUCCCAUAUUAGACUCUUCGGUUUAAUCAGUUAGCUCCUGCUGCGCUGAUAUAUUAGGGUUCAGAUUAUGUAGAUGUCUAAUACUUUAGAGUAGGAACUGCAAGAAAAAUAUUAGCAAACUUAAUUACCAUACUAUUUGUACGUAGAUUGAAAAUAGGGUGCAUAAUCUUUAUCUAGAAUUUAAAAUGAUUUUAACUUCCUCCGAUUUCAGUAUGGUCACGUUGUUUCACAUUUUAAUUGCUCCUGCUAUUGCAAGCUGGACUUGAAUUUUGGCUUCUAUAGGUAUGCAUAAUUGUUUCACCUCUCGAUAAAUUUCUACCUCUCUUAAUUCCUCUUCCUAUUGCCACAUAACUACAUCAUUUCUUUGGGAGAAAAUCAAUGUAUAGAUACAUUGUUUUUGUACUGAUUCUUCCAUUGAUUUUAUAUACUAUUCUUACUAUUGUCUCUCUGUGCAAUGCACACUUUUGGAUCGAUUCUUUCAUUUUGGUUUUCUUGCUAUGCUUGGUUAAUUAACUAGAAUACACUAAUUAGGAAUUACCCAGUCUUCUGCUAUAUGUUCACUUGCAUAGAUGGCUUAAUACAUAAGCUAAACUGAUGACUACAUAUAGCACAUUGGGUCAUUUCUCCUAAGAAGGUUAAGCCACCUGAACUUUUAGCAUUAGUUACAAAGAAGUUGCUGAAUGAUCGAACAUUUUUGUGUUUUUACUAAAUCUAAUUCUAAAACAUGUACCAAUGUCAUAAUAAUAUUUUUAUUUCAUAGCUUAACAUAUACCUUUCAGUUUCAUACCAUAUUUUUGUAAUGUACUCCCUUUGUAUCAAAAUAUAAGGCGCUGGAUUAUUGGUUUCUGCAGGUUUCAGUUUCAUACCAUAUUUUUGUGAGUCACAGCUUAAAAAAAUAAAUAUGUGCUAGCUAGGGACAUGAACUUAACUAAAAGUAUAGAUUGAGUCACAACUUAAAUCAAGAAGCUUUUAGUACAUGUACUUGUGCUUACGUUUUAGACAUUUACUUGUGAAACUGUUCUGAUCCCCUAGUUACUUGCUUGCUGACACAGUAUCACUUCUGUUAGUCUAGCUAUAGUUCUUUUUAACAAUGGGGCUGGAAUAAUUGUAUGGCGUAUGUUAUGUUGGACUCAUGAACUAGAACUAUUUUUUUUAUUUCUUGAUUGCAGGAUCAAAAGAAUUAGCUCGACUGGACUUUAGAUCACAGACAUUUUAGUCUUGGCACUUAAUUAGGAUGGCUAAAUUACAUAUGAGUUUCAUUUGAUGGAUAUUUGCUACGAGAAUUAUGAAUUUUAUAAAUUUACAUAAUAUACAUAUGGUUUUGAAUAUUGUAAUUGAAUGCUUGUAUUUUUUUUACGGUUCCAAUAGGCUAUUACAACAACCCACUUUCGGUUGCCACAUGUUAGCAUCACGAAAAGUUUAAAUUAUCGCAAUAGUUUUUUGCUACAAACAUUUCACCCAUUGUGAUACCUAUUUAUCACCACCAAAACUGGUAUGUUGCAAUUUCCUAUUACGACGACUGGAAUAU